AGAGUUUGAUCCUGGCUCAGGACGAACGCUGGCGGCGUGCCUAACACAUGCAAGUCGAACGCGAAAGGGGGCUUGCCCCCAAGUAAAGUGGCGCACGGGUGAGUAACGCGUGGGUAACCAACCCCUAGGUGGGGGAUAACGGCCCGAAAGGGACGCUAAUCCCGCAUAAGACCACGAUAGCGCAGGCUAUUGGGGCCAAAGGAGUGAUUCGCCUAGGGACGGGCCCGCGUCCCAUCAGCUAGUUGGUAGGGUAACGGCCUACCAAGGCAGUGACGGGGAGCUGGUCUGAGAGGAUGAUCAGCCACACUGGGACUGGAACACGGCCCAGACUCCUACGGGAGGCAGCAGUGAGGAAUUUUGGACAAUGGGCGAAAGCCUGAUCCAGCAACGCCGCGUGAGUGAUGAAGGCCCUCGGGUUGUAAAGCUCUUUCAGGGGGGGAUGAGAAAGGACGGUACCCCCACAAGAAGCACCGGCUAACUCCGUGCCAGCAGCCGCGGUAAUACGGAGGGUGCGAGCGUUGUCCGGAAUCACUGGGCGUAAAGCAGGUGCAGGCGGCCUGUUGUGUCGGGUGUGAAAUCCCGUGGCUCAACCACGGAACUGCGCCCGAAACUGAUGGGCUUGAGUGCGAGAGGGGAUGGUGGAAUUCUCGGUGUAGAGGUGAAAUUCGUAGAUAUCGAGAGGAAUACCGGUGGCGAAGGCGACCAUCUGGCUCGUUUCUGACGCUCAGACCUGAAAGCGUGGGUAGCAAACAGGAUUAGAUACCCUGGUAGUCCACGCAGUAAACGAUGGAUACUAGGUGUUGGGGGUGUCGAUUCCCUCAGUGCCGAAGUUAACGCAUUAAGUAUCCCGCCUGGGAAGUACGGCCGCAAGGCUAAAACUCAAAGGAAUUGACGGGGGCCCGCACAAGCG
rnacentral:rRNA from 1 species